GACGAACGCUGGCGGCGUGCCUAAUACAUGCAAGUAGAACGCUGAAACUUGGUGCUUACACCGAGCGGAUGAGUUGCGAACGGGUGAGUAACGCGUAGGUAACCUGCCUGGUAGCGGGGGAUAACUAUUGGAAACGAUAGCUAAUACCGCAUAAGAGUAGAUGUUGCAUGACAUUUGCUUAAAAGGUGCAAUUGCACCACUACCAGAUGGACCUGCGUUGUAUUAGCUAGUUGGUGGGGUAACGGCUCACCAAGGCGACGAUACAUAGCCGACCUGAGAGGGUGAUCGGCCACACUGGGACUGAGACACGGCCCAGACUCCUACGGGAGGCAGCAGUAGGGAAUCUUCGGCAAUGGACGGAAGUCUGACCGAGCAACGCCGCGUGAGUGAAGAAGGUUUUCGGAUCGUAAAGCUCUGUUGUAAGAGAAGAACGAGUGUGAGAGUGGAAAGUUCACACUGUGACGGUAUCUUACCAGAAAGGGACGGCUAACUACGUG
rnacentral:rRNA from 1 species